CUAAAAAAUAAGAAGAUUUUUAAUUUUUUAUAUAUAAAAAAAUUUAUAAAUAA
rnacentral:misc_RNA from 3 species